CUGGUUCAUGGUGAGAAGAAUGUUGAUGUCCAUCACUCAUUAUGGUCUGAAACCAAUAAGGCUGUCUGUCCAAAUAUUCCUCAGAAGGAAUUUUACAACAGAAAAUACUAUGAUAACGGUUUUGUUCCAGUUGGCCAGCAAACACUAGACAUGAGCCGUAGAAAGAGAACACAUAGAAAUAAUUUAGGACAAUAGUGAUGCACAUGUUUUGACAGAAUAUC